AGUGGCGGACGGGUGAGUAACACGUGAGAAUUUGCCUUUAGGAGGGGGAUAACAAUUGGAAACGAAUGCUAAUACCCCAUAUGCUUUUGAGUGAAAUGGAUUUUAUCCGCCUAGAGAGAAGCUCGCGGCUGAUUAGCUUGUUGGUAAGGUAAGAGCUUACCAAGGCGACGAUCAGUAUCUGGUUUGAGAGGACGAUCAGACACACUGGAACUGAGACACGGUCCAGACUCCUACGGGAGGCAGCAGUGGGGAAUUUUCCGCAAUGGGCGAAAGCCUGACGGAGCAAUACCGCGUGAGGGAAGAAUGCCUAUGGGUUGUAAACCUCUUUCUUCAGGGAGGAAUAAAAUGACGUGUACCUGAAGAAUAAGCAUCGGCUAACUCCGUGCCAGCAGCCGCGGUAAGACGGAGGAUGCAAGUGUUAUCCGGAAUCACUGGGCGUAAAGCGUCUGUAGGUGGUUUAAUAAGUCAACUGUUAAAUCUUGAUGGCUCAACUUCAAAAUCGCAGUCGAAACUAUUAGACUAGAGUAUAGUAGAGGUAAAGGGAAUUUCCAGUGGAGCGGUGAAAUGCGUAGAUAUUGGACAGAACACCGAUGGCGAAAGCACUUUACUGGGCUAUUACUAACACUCAGAGACGAAAGCUAGGGUAGCAAAUGGGAUUAGAUACCCCAGUAGUCCUAGCCGUAAACAAUGGAUACUAGAU
rnacentral:rRNA from 1 species